rnacentral:rRNA from 1 species
UGACUNGAGUGCAGAAGGGGAGAGUGGAAUUCCUUGUGUAGCGGUGAAAUGCGUAGAUAUAUGGAGGAACACCAGUGGCGAAAGCGGCUCUCUGGUCUGUCACUGACGCUGAGGCUCGAAAGCGUGGGUAGCGAACAGGAUUAGAUACCCUGGUAGUNCACGCCGUAAACGAUGAGUGCUAGGUGUUAGGCCCUUUCCGGGGCUUAGUGCCGGAGCUAACGCAAUAAGCACUCCGCCUGGGGAGUACGACCGCAAGGUUGAAACUCAAAGGAAUUGACGGGGGCCCGCACAAGCGGUGGAGCAUGUGGUUUAAUUCGAAGCAACGCGAAGAACCUUACCAGGUCUUGACAUCCCGAUGCUAUUCUUAGAGAUAGGAAGUUACUUCGGUACAUCGGAGACAGGUGGUGCAUGGUUGUCGUCAGCUCGUGUCGUGAGAUGUUGGGUUAAGUCCCGCAACGAGCGCAACCCUUAUUGUUAGUUGCCAUCAUUAAGUUGGGCACUCUAGCGAGACUGCCGGUAAUAAACCGGAGGAAGGUGGGGAUGACGUCAAAUCAUCAUGCCCCUUAUGACCUGGGCUACACACGUGCUACAAUGGUCGGUACAACGAGUUGCGAGCCGGUGACGGCAAGCUAAUCUCUGAAAGCCGAUCUCAGUUCGGAUUGGAGGCUGCAACUCGCCUCCAUGAAGUCGGAAUCGCUAGUAAUCGCGGAUCAGCACGCCGCGGUGAAUACGUUCCCGGGCCUUGUACACACCGCCCGUCACACCACGAGAGUUUGUAACACCCGAAGUCGGUGAGGUANCCUUUUAGGG